GAUGAACGCUGGCGACGUGCCUAAUACAUGCAAGUCGAGCGAACAGAUGAGGAGCUUGCUCCUCUGACGUUAGCGGCGGACGGGUGAGUAACACGUGGAUAACCUACCUAUAAGACUGGGAUAACUUCGGGAAACCGGAGCUAAUACCGGAUAAUAUAUUGAACCGCAUGGUUCAAUAGUGAAAGACGGUUUUGCUGUCACUUAUAGAUGGAUCCGCGCCGCAUUAGCUAGUUGGUAAGGUAACGGCUUACCAAGGCAACGAUGCGUAGCCGACCUGAGAGGGUGAUCGGCCACACUGGAACUGGGACACGGUCCAGACUCCUACGGGAGGCAGCAGUAGGGAAUCUUCCGCAAUGGGCGAAAGCCUGACGGAGCAACGCCGCGUGAGUGAUGAAGGUCUUCGGAUCGUAAAACUCUGUUAUUAGGGAAGAACAAAUGUGUAAGUAACUAUGCACGUCUUGACGGUACCUAAUCAGAAAGCCACGGCUAACUACGUG
rnacentral:rRNA from 1 species